GGCCUCCUGAUGCUUACCACAAGCUGUGUUCUUAUACUGACUGCAUAGAAAGAGGAGGCAGAGUAAGCCUACCCCACGUACAACUCAGCCCAGGACCUGUGUCUGGUUGUGUUGUGAAAUGGGGAGACAUGG
rnacentral:snoRNA from 1 species